GGCGAAGCUGCGUUUGCGCAGUCUAGCCAAGGCGGACGGGUGAGUAACGCGUAAGGAACUUGCCCUGCAGACAGGGAUAACAGACGGAAACGACUGAUAACACCUGGUAUUGUCAGGCUGGCGCAUGCCGGCCUGAUGAAAGGAGACGCUGCAGGAGAGCCUUGCGUCCUAUUAGCUAGUUGGUGGGGUAACGGCCCACCAAGGCGAUGAUAGGUAGCCGGCCUGAGAGGGUGAACGGCCACAAGGGGACUGAGAUACGGCCCUUACUCCUACGGGAGGCAGCAGUGGGGAAUAUUGGACAAUGGGGGCAACCCUGAUCCAGCAAUUCUGUGUGCACGAAGAAGGUUUUCGGAUUGUAAAGUGCUUUCAGCAGGGAAGAAGAAAGUGACGGUACCUGCAGAAGAAGCGACGGCUAUAUACGUGCCAGCAGCCGCGGUAAUACGUAUGUCGCAAGCGUUAUCCGGAAUUAUUGGGCAUAAAGGGCAUCUAGGCGGCCCUGUAAGUCUAGGGUGAAAACCUGCGGCUCAACCGCAGGCCUGCCCCGGAAACUACAGGGCUAGAGUAUCGGAGAGGUGGACGGAACUGCACGAGUAGAGGUGAAAUUCGUAGAUAUGUGCAGGAAUGCCGAUGAUGAAGAUAGUUCACUGGACGGUAACUGACGCUGAAGUGCGAAAGCUAGGGGAGCAAACAGGAUUAGAUACCCUGGUAGUCCUAGCUGUAAACGAUGAUUACUGGGUGUGGGCAUGAAGAGUGUCCGUGCCGAAGCAAAUGCGAUAAGUAAUCCGCCUGGGG
rnacentral:rRNA from 1 species